rnacentral:tRNA from 1 species
GGCUGUAUGGUCUAGUGGUAUGAUUCUCGCUAGGGGUGCGUGAGGUCUUGAGUUCGAUUCUCGACUUAGGUG